CCUCUGCGCUAGUGCUGCGGAGGAGGAAAGCGGAACAACCCCUCAUAGCCUAAGAUAAGUUCUUUCGUGUUUUGUUUGUUUUUUUUUUUUUUUUUUUUUUUUGAGACAGGGUUUCUGGGUGUAGCCCUGACUGUUCUGGAACUAGCUCUGUCGUUCAGACUGGCCUUGAGCUCACAGAGAUCCACCUGCCUCUGCGGUGAAAGGCUCGCACCCACACCACCCAGCUGCGAAAGCUGCUAACCCCACACCACGGCUUACACAGCUCCGGUCCUGUGAGCUUGUCAAGAUACCCCAGGAGUGAGAGUUCUGAAACAGAUUUGGGUGCUGCUGAAAACCUCGAGAAAACUUCGCGUUUGCAAACUCGUCAUUACCCAAGCCAAUACAGCGCUUGUGUUUCACUUCUUCGUUUUUGGCUUGAGCUCCCACCAGCAAAAUGGCAGCGGAAAACAUUCAAGCUUGCUGACUCCUGUCAAGCCCUUGGCUGCACCAGAGUCCCCACUGGAGUGACGGUAAGAGGGUAGGACAGUUAUCACCUCUGAGCUCACCUGGUUUAUGUGACAAUUAUGUCUAAGGGCUGAGUCCCAUAGUAGACACGAAGCAAACUUCUUCUGCGAUCCUCACUGGAAUCCCCAGUGUGUGAAACUAAAUCAUGUUUACUGAAGCAACACAGUGCAGUAUUCAACCUUGAGCAGUUAAGCCCUUAUCUAAAAGCACAGUAUGGUGGUAGUGGAAAAAACAUGGCUUGGAAGGACCUGGACACUUGUACUUAAAUCCCAGGUCCCAGGUCAUGAGCUCUGUAAAUUGAAUCAGGAAUGUAAUCACUCUAGAUCUUGGUAUUCAUAACACACACACACACACACACACACACACACACACACACACACACAGUGCCCCACAGAUCUACCUCUUAAUUGCUGCAUAAUCAGAACUCCUUAGCCAUUUGACUGCUAGUUGACUUAGCAGCACAUGACAGGGCAGGAAAAGGAGUUUAGGCCUGCUGUCUUCCCUUCCCACUUCUGCAUCAAAUCCUGGGCAGCAGCUGGCUGGCCUGGCCCCUGUCCCUUGACACUAGCUUUAUAUGGGCUCUGGGGAGCACCAUUUCUACCCCUACCUCUUGGGAGCCUCAGCACCCUUUGUUUGCUCUUUAACCCCCCCCCACCGCCCAUGUGAGCAGCCUUUUAUCAGUCCCAUCAUUGACACCUCCGCUCCCCCUUUUAUUUCUUUCUCGGAACCUGGCUGGUAGGGUGCACCAAACAGUUUCAAAACUACAAAGGACUAACUGUCUAAACACAGGUCGUCAAACUUCUAGUGUUCUCUGCAAGUAUUUGGGUAUAUUUUCACCAUCAGAACUAUCGUCGAAAAUGUCAAACUUUCCUGGUUGUAUCUAAGUAGUCUGAUGGCUGGAAAGAAACACCAACAGAGAGGCCAGUCAGAAAAUUUACAUUGAUUACUUUGACUAUAUCUGGCUUGCCUCUUCUUGAUUAAUUAGGAGCUCGUCAGAAAACUGGACAAUUGUCAGAACGGAUGGGUUUCUAUUCACACUUUAACUCUUCCCCUUCCAGGACCUGGUGCCCAGCCAUAGAAUAAGUAGAGAUUGAAUUUGCUUAGAUCUGAAUAGAUGUGCAUAUCCAUCUGCAUGUAGGUGUUCAUAGAGGACCUUUCCUCUAUGAAAAGAGAUGGUGGCAGCGGCUCCUUUCUUACACAGCUGAUAAGGUUUUUGCCCUUCGUGUCUCAUUGUGGAGGUGGUAUUUACUUUCGCUGUAUGAUUAUUUGUGCAUUUGUAGUUUUUCAAAGUGAAAAAUCUUAGCCUACAUAUAAUUUCUUCUUAAAAUAAUGACCUUUUUGAAGACAUCUUUUUCUCAGCAUAUUAAAAAAAGUUGUUAUUGUGACAUAUGCACGCAAACAGAGCUUUUGGGGUGCCAGUAUUUAUGUGACUAAAGUAGGAGAGUCCGAGGUUCAAGGCCAGGUAAGGUGCCUGUCAGGACCCUGUUCAUGUAACUUAAAUAUUUUUACUCCAAUUAGCAAACUUAAGAAUCUGUCUUAAGGAAGAAACAAAAGUAAUUGCUUUGUUGUUUUCAAUACUUUAUUUGUCUAGGCACAGUCUCAUGUCGUAGUAGCCUGGCCUCAAAUUUGCUGUCAGUCUAGGAUGGCUUUGAACUUCUGAUCCUCUUAUUCCACUUCCUGAGUGUUGGGAUUCUAAUAGACGUGGGUCACCUUGUGUCUUAGUUACGUUCCUAUUGUUGUACUAAGAUACCAUGACCAAUACAACUCAUAAAAGAAAGGGUUUGAUUGGGGGCACAUGGUUCUAGGGAAGCAUGACAGAAUUAAGCAGGAAUGGUACUAGAGCAGUAGGUGAGACACCGCUAUGGGCCAAAGAGAACUAACCGGAAAUAGUGCCAGCAGUUGUUGCAACCUCAAAGCCCUCCCCCAGUGAAACACAAUCUUUAACAAGGAUAUACCUCCAAAUCCUUCCCAACACUCUCACCAAAUGGGAACUAAGUAUUCAAAUAUAUGAGACCAUGGAGAAAUUCUCAUUCAAACCACCCCACCCUGCCCAGUAUAUUUGGUAAUAGAAAUCAAACUCAAGGUCUAUGAUGGUUUGAAUGAAAAUGGUCCCCCAUAGGCUCAUAGGGAGUGACACUAUUAGGAGUUGUGGCCUU